AAGUCGUAACAAGGUUUCCGUAGGUGAACCUGCGGAAGGAUCAUUAUCGAGUUUGAACGGGUUGUCUGCUGGCUCGCAAGGGCAUGUGCACGCCUGUCUCAUCCACUCUCAACUUCUGUGCACUUUUCAUAGGCCGGCUUGUGGGUGCGUUCGCGCACUUGUAGGUGUCGGGCUUAUGCUUUACUACAAACGAUUCAGUUUUAGAAUGUCAUACUUUGCUAUAACGCAAUUUAUAUACAA
rnacentral:misc_RNA from 1 species